rnacentral:rRNA from 1 species
UACGAAGGGGGCUAGCGUUGCUCGGAAUCACUGGGCGUAAAGCGCACGUAGGCGGAUUUUUAAGUCAGGGGUGAAAUCCUGGAGCUCAACUCCAGAACUGCCUUUGAUACUGGGAAUCUCGAGUCCGGGAGAGGUGAGUGGAACUGCGAGUGUAGAGGUGAAAUUCGUAGAUAUUCGCAAGAACACCAGUGGCGAAGGCGGCUCACUGGCCCGGUACUGACGCUGAGGUGCGAAAGCGUGGGGAGCAGACAGG